rnacentral:piRNA from 1 species
UCCCUUCACCACAGGGUGUCUUUGUGCCA